rnacentral:rRNA from 1 species
ACUAAGUAUAGGAGGUCUUGCCUGCCCAGUGACUACAAGUUAAACGGCCGCGGUAUUUUGACCGUGCAAAGGUAGCGCAAUCACUUGUCUUUUAAAUAAAGACCUGUAUGAAUGGUAGAACGAGGGCUUAUCUGUCUCCCCCCUCCAGUCAAUGAAAUUGAUCUAUCCGUGCAGAAGCGGGUAUAAAAAUACAAGACGAGAAGACCCUUUGGAGCUUAAAAUGUAAAGUCACCUAUAUAAAGAUUUUCGGUUGGGGCGACCACGGGAGAUAAUAAAGCUCCCACGCGGAACGGGUAAAAAAUUAAGAGAGACAUCUCUAAAGCACAGAACAUCUGACCAAACAGCCGAUCAACGGACCAAGUUACCCUAGGGAUAACAGCGCAAUCCCCUUUCAGAGUUCCUAUCGACAAGGGGGUUUACGACCUCGAUGUUGGAUCAGGACAUCCUAAUGGUGCAGCCGCUAUUA